GUAUAGAUGUCAAGUUUUCCUAACACUGUUGAAAAUACUGCCUUUUUCUUCAAUAUUUAUGUCUGACAUAAAAGGGGAAUGUAGUGAUGUAUUAUUUGUAUUUUAAUAAAUAGAGUCUGAAGCUCCGUUGAGCGGCACCUGCCCUGCUACG